GCCCCCGCCCCGGCAGCCUAGCAGUCGCCCUGCGUCGGGCCCACGCCCCUCUCUCUCCCUAGCAACCGCCAAGCCGCCCGUCCAUAGCAACCGCCUGGUCACCCUGGACGCGCGGCCCAGAGCUCCCAGAUGGGCCCACCCAUCCAUCAAUCCUUUUACGACAGUAUUUGCUGAUCCUGACAACCAACCUCAGUUCUACCAGCUGAUACUAAGCCUGAUCAAGAUAGAUUUUUUCUCUCCUUCUUGAUGCCAUAGUGACCAGAGGAAGCAAGACAUGCUCCAGGCCUACAAUUCCUCAACUUUAGAACAGAUGUAUUAAUUUAACUACCCUGAAAGACUGUGGUGUGAUCAUAUGAAUUAUGGUAUAAGAAAGCAUAGCAGAAAUGGUACACCCCAUGUAGACAGGAUGCUUUCUCUUUUCCUCCCGAC
rnacentral:lncRNA from 1 species